UACAGAGGGUGCGAGCGUUAAUCGGAAUUACUGGGCGUAAAGCGCGCGUAGGCGGCUUUGCAAGUCGGGUGUGAAAUCCCCAGGCUUAACCUGGGAACUGCAUUCGAGACUGCAUUGCUAGAGUAUGGGAGAGGGAAGUGGAAUUCAAGGUGUAGCGGUGAAAUGCGUAGAUAUCUGGAGGAACACCGGUGGCGAAGGCGGCAUCCUGGACCGGUAUUGACGCUGAGGCGCGAAAGCCAGGGGAGCAAACGGG
rnacentral:rRNA from 1 species